UACAGAGGUCUCAAGCGUUAAUCGGUAUCACUGGGCUUAAAGGGUGCGUAGGCGGGUCCGCAAGUGCUUUGUGAAAUCCCACGGCUCAACCGUGGAACUGCUUGGCAGACUGCGGGUCUUGAGGUCGGUAGGGGCUGCCGGAACUCUAGGUGUAGCGGUGAAAUGCGUAGAUAUCUAGAGGAACGCCGAAGGUGAAGACAGGCAGCUGGGCCGAUUCUGACGCUGAGGCACGAAAGCGUGGGUAGCGAACGGG
rnacentral:rRNA from 1 species